CUGUUGGGCUAGCAGAAGGCAGAAGCCAGCACCAUCUUAAGGGUGCGGCACUUCGCAGCUCUCUACAUAACAGGACUGUUACACAUAGAUGGAGACAGCAUACACAAGACCUGGAGAAGGCUAAGCCAGACAAAAUCCCAGCACUGAGAAGGGGAAGAGGACACAAGUUCCAGGAAAGCAGUCUCUGUCCUGGGAGGAUUUCAAGAAUUACACCGUCCAUUUGGAUUCUUUGCUGGACUUUUUGAUGGAUGGUCUUAAAUAACAUGUAAGCAGAAUGUUCAGAAACACUGACAAAAUAGGGUCUCAGCAACCCCUUCUGAAGAGACAGUGGAAAGAAGUAAGAACCAGAUGGGAUGGAGGACACCUAGAAAACAAGGUCCUCUAAAUCAAUAUGAUGGACACACAUAUGAACUCAGAGACUGAAGCAGCAUACACAGACCCUACACAGGUCUGUACUAGAUAGGGCGCUAAACCUGAAAGGCAAAGUGAACACAAGCCCUCAUCUGAACCCACAAUCAAUCUCCAAUCAGUAACUACUUGCAAAUGAAACUUCAGUUUUCUCCAAUGAUGCCUCACUGAGGAACAAACUACUUUUAAGGAUAUACUACAUGCCCCUUAGUAGGUAGCCAACAGAAAAUCAACUCAAUGACAUCUUUAGAGGUCAGAGCAUUAUAGUCUUUGAUAAAACAAAUACAUAGCCACGAUGAAACAAAAUUGAUGACUGACAUAAGGAAAUCAAGCUAGAACAGAAUGGAGAACUUCUUCCCUGCCAACUAGCUUCAAUACUUCCAAAAGGUAUUGGACACGCUGCCCUACCUGGACAGGCUGGACAGAAACCUUACUGUGAGCAAGGACCAUUCCAUCUUGUAAAACUCUUCCAUUUUGGUUGAACUGUGAUAAUUCUUAAAACUACACUAAUUAGGUUCCUAGAUAUAAGCUAACUUGUUUCUCUAGAUUCUUGCCUUCCCUGACCUAAGGAUUCCAAAGAAUGGCCAGUUCGGAGAUUCUUGUUUACCACCUUUCUUUAACUGACUACUCACGGGUUUCUCCUAGCAAGGGCCAACUACAGGUGAAGAAAAAAGCAGGAAAUUUUCAGCCCACUCCAUUUAUGCCCUAUAAAACCCUAGCUCAUAAGUGGAUGGUGGGCUCUUAUUGUUAUAGACAUCCUCUAAAUGUUUUUGCCCCCAAAAUAAGAGUCUGAACAAUCUUUAUUAACUCAGCUGCUAGUCUGCCUUUCCUUCUCAUUGAUCUUUCACCUAUGACCUUUAACACUAAUCUGCCAAGCAAGAGGCACCACUCCAUGCAAAAAUACUGUGAGUGUUGUGAGGAUAACCAAUAAAUCUUGUCUGACACCCCCUACAAGAGAAAAUUCAAACCCAUUAGUAUAAACCCAGUCAAAGAAGCAUGGCUACAGGGUAUUAGGUCCCAGGCAAGAAGUUUAAGGCAUUGUUUAGGCCAUGUGUAAUUCUGCUAAAAUGUUCUCUAAAGACUUAUACUCAUGGGCAAGCAAUACUCAGACAAAUAAAAUCUCUUUGAAAUAAGCAGCAGCGAAUGCAGAGAUGUUUCAAGGAACAUAUAGAUAAGCAAUGGCUGAGCAUCCAGCCAUAAACAGGAUAUUUAAGUCACCUGCUCUGAGUCUCAGGGAUCACUACAGAAGAGGGAAUAGAAACACUGCAAGAAACAGAAGACAGAGAGAAACAGUGAGGUGCUGUUCCUUGUAUGCAUCAGCCAUCUGAGUCAUGACUUCCACUAACUCUGGAUAGAUACAAUAGCUCUUCAACAGCCUAUGUCUAUGGACAGUUUAUAAGUGAUCAGGGAGGGACUCAUGAAAUCUUUUCUUCUUCCAGGUGAACUGCUGGAUACUGAUGGAUUCUGGGGGGAGAAAUAGUUUGUGACUUCAUUUAUUUCUUAUUGAGAAGACCAUUAUGGUCUCACAAAUGGUCCCCAUCAUAGAGAUGGUCCUGAUUACUCUCAAUGGACACAAAUAUAUAAAUAUAUAGAUACAGAUAGGUAGAUGAUAUAUAAACAAAUAGGUAGAUGAUAUAUAGAUAGGAUUAAAUGUUUAAAGGGGGCUUGUAGCAAAAAAGGGAAAAGUUAAUAGUGAGAGGGAGACUAACUGGAAUAUUAUAAUAACCAGAAUGUACUAUAUACAUAUAUAAAAUUAUGAAAGAAUAAAUUUAGCAAAAGGUUAAAUAAAUAAAUAAAUGGAAAAAGAAAUGCCAAGACAAUAUUGUUAGAAUGUUAUUUUGUUUCUACCUUUGCUGUUUAUUCUGUAAGAACAAAAAUCGUUUGGAAAGAUCUUUUAGUCAACACCAGCUUGAUGAAUAGCUCAGCAGUGUAGAGUUCUUGUUCUUCCAGUAGACUCAGUUCCAUUAUUACCAGUACCUGCCCAGUAACUCACAACCGCCUAGUUCCACGGAAUAUGACACUCUCUCCUCUUCUGGCCUUUAUGCAAGUAUGAUACUGUGAGUGCAUGGGGUACACAUACAAACAUGCAGGCAACUCACACCCAUAAAGUUACAUAAAUAAAACUAAACUAAAAAUUUUAUAAAGAUAACAAGAAUAAUCUCUAAUGCAGAAUCAUAUGUCCAUUUCUGUGUCUAUCUCACUAUAACACAAUGAAUUUGUCGCUAGAUUAGGAGUCCUACAUUGCUCAUUUUACAAAACACAUAUUACUGUAGGCACAAAUUUAGUGAAUGUAAUUACGAAGUUAUAUAACCAAGGGUUUUUAAAAUUCUUCUAGCAUACAUGUCUAAUAUGAUUUUCAUAAUUUGCAUGUCAAAAAUAUACAAUA